rnacentral:misc_RNA from 1 species
GAAAGGCGAAACGUAAUGUGAAUCGCAACUAACAGUGAAUCAUCGAAUCUUUGAACGCAGGCCGCACUUUGCGGUAUCAUUCACGUGAUACCACAAGGUAUCUACGUAUGAGUGUCAGCCCAAUAUCCAUUUGGUCCUCAAGGGGAACAUUUUUGUUCAACUUGUGGAUACACAAGUGUCUUGUGACAUAUCUCUUGAAACAUUACACUGUGACUGGCCUCAUAUGUGGAAGAUUACCCGCUGGAUUUAA